CCCUUAGAUGUUCUGGGCCGCACGCGCGCUACACUGAUGCAUUCAACGAGUUCUUACCUUGGCCGAGAGGCCUGGGCAAUCUUUUGAACGUGCAUCGUGAUAGGGAUAGAUUAUUGCAAUUAUUAAUCUUGAACGAGGAAUUCCUAGUAAACGCUGGUCAUCAACCAGCAUUGAUUACGUCCCUGCCCUUUGUACACACCGCCCGUCGCUCCUACCGAUUGAAUGCUCAGGUGAGCCAUUCGGACUUUCAUCAUGCUGGUUUCCAGUUUUGAUGAAGGAAAGUCUUGCGAACCUUAUCAUUUAGAGGAAGGAGAAGUCGUAACA
rnacentral:rRNA from 1 species